GCGGCCGGAGCUCGGCGGCGGAAGCAGCUGCUGCAGCUUGCAGGUGUGGUGGCGGCCGGCCGAGCUGACCACGCACAGACCCGGCGCGGCGGCACUGCGGCCCCGGGGCAGCCGGCGCCGGGGACAAGAGCUGAUUCGAUCCCUCCGGAGAAGGUGUGAUGGGAAUGAAUUAUGGAUGGCACUGCCCUUUCUCCUGUUUCUUGUCUGAAGUUUUGGUAAGGUGGAAAUUAGAGGUGAUGGACCUUAAAGUUUGAGCAGUUCAAGACACUCAACCAAAUGACACAGAAUGACAACUUGGUGAAAAAAACCCUGUGGUAUAUACCAAAUACCAAGAUAUGCAUCCUCUGCCCAUCCUCAUUUGUGUAUUCCCACUCAUCCCAUCAUAAUUAGAUUCUGCCACUUUUCUCCUCAGCCCUGUAAUAGUCUCAUGUCUACUCGCUUCCCAUCUCUUCCCCAUCUUUUAAUCUCAAAUACAGUUCAUACAUACAGAACGUCACCUGAAUGAUGUUCAUUACUGAUGGCUUCUCGCUUUCUUAAGAAUGCUUAAAAGAUGCAGUGUUGGAAGAGAAAACUGUCACCACCUGCUGACUUGUGCCCAAAGUCUCAGAGGCUGAAACUUCUGCUUUCAUAAAUGGGGAGGCCCAGCACAGAAGUGAAAUGAAGAAGUGCCAUAAAAGAGCUUAUGAGCCUUUUAAAGACUCCCCAGGAAAUAUACACACACACAUACAGGUACACAAGAUGUUCAGUGUGAUUUCAGAGAAAUUCUCAGACACCUCAUAUGUCUUGACCACUGGGUAAGACCUCUGCUUCCAGACAUUCUAAAAUUUACUCUUGAAUAAUGCAACCCAGAGAACUGUGUACUUGGACCAAAUUACUUAUAUCCUUUAUAGUAUUAUUUCUGGCAAAUUACCCCAUCAGCUUUUGGCUUGCAUAGCAGACAAUUACAAGAAUUUCUUUUCUAUCUAUCGGUAGAGGUCGUCUUCCAUCACAUCCUUUAUACAAAGACUAUAUAAAUGCACAUAAUGUCUUAUAUAUUAUUUCACAGUGUUAACAGAUACUUGGUGUCCAAUGUAGAAUAACAUGAACUAUGGGCUACUAAUGUUCUACAAAGAAUAAAGUAGUUCUUUGU
rnacentral:lncRNA from 1 species